AUGGCCUGGACCCCUCUCCUACUGGGCCUCCUGGCUCACUUCACAGGCUCUGUGGUCUCCUAUGAGCUGACUCAGCCUUCCUCAGUGUCGGUGUCUCUGGGACAGACGGCCAGGUUGACAUGUCAGGGAGACAACAUUGGUGGUAAAUACGUUCAAUGGUACCAGCAGAAGGCAGGCCGGGCCCCUGUGCUGGUCAUUUAUAAGAAUAACCAGCGGCCCUCAGGGAUCCCUGACCGGUUCUCAGGCUCCAAAUCUGGGAACACGGCCACCCUGACCAUCAGCGGGACCCAGGCCGAGGAAGAGGCUGAUUAUUACUGUCAGGUGUGGGACAGUGGUUUAGGGCCACAAUGUCACAGGGCCAUGGGGAAGUGA